rnacentral:rRNA from 1 species
AGAGUUUAUCUUGGUUUAGGACGAACGCUGGCGGCGUGCCUAAUACAUGCAAGUCGAACGCAUUUUCUUUCACCGUAGCUUGCUACACCGAAAGAAAAUGAGUGGCGAACGGGUGAGUAACACGUGGGUAACCUGCCCAUCAGCGGGGGAUAACACUUGGAAACAGGUGCUAAUACCGCAUAAUUCCAUUUACCGCAUGGUAGAUGGAUGAAAGGCGCUUUUGCGUCACUGAUGGAUGGACCCGCGGUGCAUUAGCUAGUUGGUGGGGUAACGGCCUACCAAGGCUGCGAUGCAUAGCCGACCUGAGAGGGUGAUCGGCCACACUGGGACUGAGACACGGCCCAGACUCCUACGGGAGGCAGCAGUAGGGAAUCUUCGGCAAUGGACGCAAGUCUGACCGAGCAACGCCGCGUGAGUGAAGAAGGUUUUCGGAUCGUAAAACUCUGUUGUUAGAGAAGAACAAGGAUGAGAGUGGAAAGUUCAUCCCUUGACGGUAUCUAACCAGAAAGCCACGGCUAUACUACGUGCCAAGCAGCCGCGGUAAUACGUCAUGCAUUCUAUCGUACCCC